rnacentral:rRNA from 1 species
UGGGGAAUAUUGCGCAAUGGGCGAAAGCCUGACGCAGCAACGCCGCGUGAGUGAUGAAGGCCUUCGGGUCGUAAAGCUCUGUCGGAGGGAACGAAUGCUCUUGAGGUUAACAGCCUCGGGAGGUGACGGUACCCUCAAAGGAAGCACCGGCUAACUCUGUGCCAGCAGCCGCGGUAAUACAGAGGGUGCAAGCGUUGUUCGGAAUCAUUGGGCGUAAAGGGCGUGUAGGCGGCCAACUAAGUCAGACGUGAAAUCCCUCGGCUUAACCGGGGAACUGCGUCUGAUACUGGAUGGCUUGAAUCCGGGAGAGGGAUGUGGAAUUCCAGGUGUAGCGGUGAAAUGCGUAGAUAUCUGGAGGAACACCGGUGGCGAAGGCGGCAUCCUGGACCGGUAUUGACGCUGAGUGAGCGAAAGCCAGGGGAGCAAACGGGAUUAGAUACCCCUGUAGUCCCUGAGCGGGCUGGCAAGGCGCAU